AUGAACAACUACUUCCACGGCGACCGUGUACAACUACCGUCGCGAGAAUGCCUACUUCCUCUACGAACUCGAACCGCUCUAAGUAUGCUCCUUUGGAAGCUUCGGUUCCAUUCCGGAGUUGUGAGGAUCCGUUCGACUACGUCCGUUUGUCUUCUUCAUGGACUCAUUCUUCUUCCUUGCGGGAUCUCAGGAUGGCUCGUCCAACGCGUCAGAAUCCGGAACCUUCGCCACCACCUCCACCUCCGGAGGCAUGGCAAGCUGUCAUGGCAGCCACCAAUGCCAACACUCAGAUGCUUUUGCAACUCUUGCAAGAGCGAAACUAAGGGCAAGGCAACCAAGGAAAUCAAGGCCAAGGCAACAAUUAGCCUCAGUUUGCUACCCUCAAUCAGUUCCUCGCAAACCAGCCGAAGUCCUUCAGUAACUGUGUCGAGGCCACAGAUGCCGAUGACUGGCUCGUGGAUAUUUGCAAACAUUUUGAGUGUAGCAAUGUCAGGCCUGAGGACUUUGUCAAGUUUGCUUCGUAUCAACUCAAAGACCAAGCUAUUGAGUGGUAUCAACAAUACAGAGAUUUCAGAGGAGGUCGUGUGA
rnacentral:rRNA from 1 species